AAAGGAAAUCUUAGAACACUGAUGUCUUAACAGUAGCCCUAAAAAGAGAUUGUUGAAGUUUGAUUGAGUUAAUGGGAAUAAAAUGGCCACAAUAUUUUAUUUUAAUUGGCUGGCUAUGUUCUAAAAUAUCUCAACGUAUCUCACCAAAAUGCUUCAAUAUGUUUUAAAAAAUGUGUUUUAUCUCUGUAUUUCACCUGCAGGCUGAGUAUUGUCUGUUGGCUUUACGUUUUACCUAGAAUUUCCAGAAAGGGCAAUUUCAGACUACUCAAAGAAGAGCCCUUCAUGGAAAUACCAUAUGCUUCAGUACUCUGCUUUCCUGAAGGUUGGAAGACUCUAUGAUGAUACAGAGAGGUGAAGGUGGAGAACCUACCCAAGAAGGCUGAGCUAAAGAUCCAUUCUGCAAUUGUGGUACACCAGUGUACUCAUGUUGAUUGAACUUCAAUACAGAGACAAUGAGUUUGGGUCCUCACAGAUCAGAGCUCAACACUUGGAGGUUAACAUCACCAACUGUUCACAGAAUUGAUAAAGUCACAGAAAACUUGAAGGCAGCAAGCUUCUGUAUCCCAUAUGUGUAAGAGAAGCAUUUAUGCUUAUGUCCACUUUUUCUUAGUAUCAAGUAAGAAGAUGUGAUUUGGUCUGCAGCUUGCCAAAGCCAUUAGCUGCUUGUGUAAUUCUGGGAGGUUGCCAAAGCAGUUUUGGUCUUUACUGAGGAUUCUUUAAGACAACUGCUCUGUUUGAAGUUCUUCACUGGUUUGAAGUGCUACAAAAGGCUGGAGGAUUUGCAGACAGAUUUUGGGCAAGAUAUAAAUUGGUAAGAUAAGUACAGCCUCCCAUGAGACUCUGCACACUGAAUAUUGUCAUGAUCACUAUUGUGAGCUGCAUCUCUACAGGCUUGUCUGCAGGAAUGCACUAGUAUUUUUGGCUGUGCCUGGAAAACAUAAAAAGUAUUUCUUCUCCUAAGGAUUGUAUUUAGCAGCAGACAUUUGAUUUGCUACAGAAUAACUGAACAGGUAAAUUAUUAAUUAUAGUCCCUAUAUUUAACAAUCAGACUUUGUUAAAUACUGAACUCCUAAUAUCAGAACCAGAGUAUUGCGCAUGUGUCCUUGCUUCCACAAAGACAGAUACUUUAUGUAAAGUAGUCACAUAUAUAUAUGUGACUGGUUCCACUUUCCAAAUUCAGUAGUAAGUU